ACGAGCAGGCGCUAAGUGUGGGACUGGGAACCGUUCGGUGGGCACCUUUGGCCCUUGCUCUUUGGGCGUUUACCUGCGGGGGUCGUCUCCUCAGGCUCAUCCUUUUUUAGUCCUCCUUUCUCUGGUCCGCAGAACUGUAGUGGCCUUGCAGGAGUGGAACUCGCACGUCCUUCGCUGGGCUUCGUGGCGGCCAUCUUAGAAAAGCCAAAGAGCACUUAGAAAUGGGCACUUGAAGGAACAGAACUGGUUAGAGGCGGGCAGCUCCCUGGAAAGAAGCCUUGUUUGUUAUCAUUUAUGCAGACUGAUGGGGCCAAUGUGAUUGAAAACAGAAAUGUGGACACACACAAGGGGAAGAUUAUGUAAAGACACGGAGAAGAGACAACCACCUCCCAGUCAAGGAGAGAGGCCUCAGAGAGAACUAACCUUGCUGAAACUUUGAUUUUAGACUUCUAGUCUCUAGUCUGGAACUAUGAGAAAAUAAAUUUCUAUUGUUUAACCUGAAGAAAAAUAAAACAGAAAUAUGAUUUUUCAGGCUCUACAUUGCAGUGAUCUGGUGCAAUUGUUGACACUGUUAUUAAUACUAUGACCCUAUGUACUUUUUAUUCAGAUACCUACAGGUCGAAAUUUCUAAGGAAGAAAGAGCUAAAAGCUUGGAAGGGUGGGAAGUGGUUACCAAACCAGAAUCCAAAGUCAGGCUUCACUGCAUUCAGUAAUGCUUUGUCAGGGUGACAGGAUCCUCAACGGAUAAAGCUAUUUCAUUUAGCACCACUGAACAAGCUCACCAACUUUUAAACAAACAAAAACCAAACCUGUCUUUCAAUUGUGAUUUUGAAAUAAAAAUGCACCACACAUCUA